AAGGAGAGACCCCUCCAUCUAGGAAAAAAGGGCGCUCCUGAACUUCUUCCUCCUCUCUCAUUUUUCAGAAAACAACAGAGCUCCCAUGGUGUCACGUUCUUCUUCCCAUUCUCUGUAGUUUAAGCGCGCACACUCACACAUUUAGACUCAUAGAAGCAGCCUUAAUUUUGAAUCUCAGAUUCUAGAUCUAUAACACAAUAAGCUCAAAAUCAGAACAAAAAACCAAAAGAAGAACGAGAUUCAAAAGGGAAUUUCAUUAAAAAUGUUCCGGGUCAAACUCUGUUGAUUGCUGUUGAAUUUCGCCGCUGAUUCAGUUCAGGGUUGAGCUCCCGAUUAGCUGUCGAAUUUGCUGUUGAGAUUUGCGGGUCCAAUUUGGUCCGAGUUUGCUGUCCGUUUGGCUUUGAGGUUGUAUUGAGAGACAUAUCCAUGAAUAAAAGUUGAAAAGAGAAUUUGCUAAAAGUUUGGCCCGUUGAUUAUUGUUCACUUCUGGUUCUCUGUUGCUUUGGGAUCUGCCGAGCUCCGUACUUCCAUUAGCCUUCAUUCGGCUAUUGUUUUCUCCGUUUAUCCUGCUUCUAAGUAGUGUUGGAAUACGAGCCAAAGAAAUAAAAAUCAACUCAAGAAGGAGUAAUUUUGGACAAGGACCAAAACAAGGCUAAAAGUGCACAAUGCGGAGCGCACAAUGUUGAUUGCGGCCGCAAAACAUAAGGAAGCCUCUGAUAGAAUUCCCAUGAAAAAUACAGAUCGCAUAAUUCUAGUGCGGCCGCAGAAGAUGAAGUUCAGAGAGUUGUAUUUUUGGGCCAUGAAGAAGUGCGGACCGCACCAUUAUUGCGCGACCGCACUCAUAAUUGUGCGGUCCGCAGAAGAGGAGAAUUAGAGACCCAUGUUUUUGGAUGAUUGAAUAUGUUCGGACCGCACUAUUAUUGUGCGGGAGGCCAAAAUGCGGCUGCACUCAUAAAUGUGCGGUCCGCAUACCGAAGGCCAGCUCCAGUCCAAGUUCAAGCGUGCGAUCGCACUCAGAAAUGUGCGGUCCACACAAUUAAAUGAAGUACGACCGCAAUCCAAUUUUAUGCGACCACAAAAAGCCCAAUCAACAUGCAGAUAGCACACAGAAGUGUGUGGCCGCACAAUCUCCGUAGGGGCAAUUUUAUCAGAUAUUUUCAGCUUAGUAUAAAUAGAACUUUUUGUCAUUUUUAGGUUAAGUUGUGUAAGUUGGGAGCACCUGAGCCGUUUUUAUUUACUGUAUUGGGUAACAUUGUACUAGAUUAGCUUUUAAACAUUACAUUUUCUUAUCAAGUAUUAUGAAUUCUCUUUCA